rnacentral:lncRNA from 1 species
UUAAAAAAAAAAAAAAAAAUCAAACGACAUAAUUGCCAGAUUAUAAAAUGCAAUUUAGAUCUUUAUCUGUCAAGAGAAAAGGCUAUCUGUUCCCAUUAUGCCAAUCCCAUAAAAAAAAAAAUGGUCCUAUGGUGGGCUUGAUAAAAUAAUGACUGGGGUCUACCAGACUGGGAAAUACGGCUGUUCUGUUGAUAUACGUACAAACGUAUAAACAACGCUUGCAAAUUCUGCUCGCAGUGGCCCUGUGGCAGCUCCCGCUGCUGUGUCGCAGCGUGGGAAUGGGCAAUGUUCUCCAGGUGGUCCGGGGAGCAGCGAACUCUUGCAGGAGAGCUCCCUUCCCCAUCUCUGGAUGGAGGUCAGCCUAUGUCAGCCACGUAGCAGGGAGCAGCGGGCACACUGGGGUAAGCCACUCUGCGGCAGAUGUCAUCCCUGCUCCAAAGAUAGUGGCAAAUUUGCCCUGGAUAAUGCAAUGCUGAACAAGAUAACUCUGCGAGCGCCAAGCAUUACCUCCUCCCCUGCUCGCAAAGCCAGCGACUUUGCACUGUGAAAGCAGCCUACUGUACUGCCUUGCUUAGAGGUCAUGUGCCCUAUUUUGAGAACUGAACCAAAGCGGAUGAAGUUUUGAGCCGCGUCCAAGUGAGGCAGCUGGGCAUUUCCCACUGCUCCCGGCCCCAGUGAAGCAGGCGGUCACAUGCUGUGAUGGGCAAGUCCUUCAGCUGAGAGUUAACUUUGAUGCUGCUCACCUCACCGGUGACUGCGCGAGAUGCGUAGCCGGCUGGGGAUCGCUUUUCAGAAGGACUGCAGCCAACUUUGGGUGGAUGCAGCGGAGCGGAGGUUGCUUUCCCAGUACCACUGGUGCCGGUGUCCCGAGAGCACUCCGCAGCCUGCCGGCUCCCCAGCUCGCUGCACUGAACACCUGGCUUCCUGGGCACAGCAAAAGUCUUCCAAACCCGACACAAGCCCUGGAAAAACAUAGAUGGAAAAACUGAAGCAGAAUAGUUGCAACUGAUGUGCCUGCAGUUGAAGGAUGGGGCCCCAUGUGAGUUAUGCAUGAUAUGAAGGCUGCCUUGGGACUCUACAUCAAUCUAUUCAUCAGCAGACUCCAGUGCAUUUUGGUGCUCAAGCUGAGAUAAUAACCAGUGAUCUACCACGCAGCAUGGAAGUUCUACUGUGAGUCAGUUUCCCCAAGUCAAAGCUGUUGGAUGACUGAUGCCCUGACUAAUUAAACAAGUAGCCAAGGUUCAUAAUUCUUGGACAAAUCCUGUCCCACCCAGAAGGCUACCCUGCCCCACCCAUUGUGAGCAAGAAAGCUCUUUGAUGUGAGGAAAUGGAGAGAAGGAAAUAACAUUUGUUUGAGAAAGUGAGAGCAAAUGGCAAUGUCAGGAUGAUGCCUACCCACUUUGACUCUUCUGAAGGAUGCAGAAGCCCCUAUGAAGGCACACAUCUGAUUUUUCAGGGCUACUGAAGGAUUGUUCAAUGGGCUGUAACAAGAAAACAAUUGCCAGUGCCAGUAACAGUAAUGACCUAGCUGGAAACUUCAUGAGGAACUCUGCUUUACUCAGUCUUGAGAUAACAGAGACAUGCCACCUGCAUGCACUACCUCCUUGCAUUCUGCCACCAUGUCACCAAUCCCUGACGGUAUCAUUCAGCUCUCUCUGACUUCAAAUAUAGUUCUUUGUGAUAGCAACAUCCAAAUCGCUUGAGAAACACCUGAGAGUCUUCUGUGGUUUAACAUAGUAUCAGGACUUGUUUAAGUGCUAAUAAACAUGGGUGUAAACACAUCGCAAGAGUCUCUUCCAGAACCCUUUCUGUGCACUGGUGAAACUUCCUGCCAUCUGCUGGAAGCUUGCCUAUCCUUUAGAGAUAGCUGUGAGCAGGGGGAAGGUACCAGACUAAGGGUGUACAGGGCAGUGAACCAAUGGAAUCUCACAGCCAAUAUUGGGCUGCCUGCCGUCAGCCACCAGAGGUGACAUUCACUCUACAAGAAAAAAUUAUUAAUGCUAACACCAUCCUGACUUUCUUCAGGAUCUCAUGGACAGAAAUUUAGAGGUUUAUUUCAAACAUUCAGCUUGGGUAAUCGCAAAUCUUACUUUUUAAUUCCAGAGGUCUUGGGAACAGUGCCAGAGCUGAGCUAAAGGGGAUAUCAUUCAUUAUCAGUAGUCUAACCUAUGCUGAGAGACAGAGUCCUCCAGCACCAGCAUGUCCAAAUUUCAGAGCAUGGUUCCUCCAUAACUCAAGAAGUAUGAGUUUCUUUUGUGAAAAAUUAAAGCACAGUCUGUGGUGUUAUAUGAACAAAAAUUUUAAAUUGUGGUACUUUCGCCAUCCACAUUUGAUUUGUUGAGUUGCAAUCAGGUGUGGUUCAUGAAAAGCAUAUAAACUAUGGAGGUGCUUCCACCAGCCAUCAGUACAAAGAAAUCACCAGUGUUUAUCAAUUUUUAUGCUAUAUUUUAAGAUGUCAUGCUAUCAUUACCUGGAUCUGUAAUGUAUCCAAAUCUCUUUUGGGGAAAAAAAAAAAAAAAAAAAAAAAAAGCCAGUAGUUCUAUCUUAGGCAUUCCAAUACUUUGCUCUUUAAGGAUAUAUGUGUAGACAGUGAAUAGAUCCAACUGCCGUGAGAAAAGAAUAGAUGCAUGCCCUGCCCUGGCCCAUUACCCUCUUAUUCAUUUCAAUACACUGCUUGAUUUGUAACUAUCACUCCUUGCUCAGCUAUUUAUUUUAUGGUAGCUCAUUGCAAUUCCUGUCAUUGCUUCCUCCUUAUUUUUCCAUUUUACCUGAUGCAGCUUGGCAUGUUUGAUAAGCGUAAGUGGGCCCAACUCAGUCUUGGCAUCUUCAAGCACAGUGCAACUGACAUCAGUCAGAGCCACUAAUAACAGGAUGGACUUGGCACCAUGGAUGCACUGCAGGUAUCAUUGCAAACCGAUGACUUCAUUUCUGCCUUUAUCUGUUUCACCCACCAUCAAGGCCUCAAAACCCAAACGUGAAAUUGUGCUUAGUUUCAAGAAACAUGAGAAUUUUCUUCAGUGUUUUCUACCUGUCUCUACUGCCACUCUAGCUUCAGAUUUCCAUUUCUCUUGGUGUUUUCUGCUCUCAUCAUGGGACUAUGUUUAUUCCCAUCCUCUAUGGUCUCAGCAUCAGGACUCGAGAAGAUGAGGCAGUUUGAGCUGUGCUGUAUUAUUUAUCUCACCUAUUUUCCCUUCAGCAAGAAAUGACUCUGAACUCUUCCUCCUUCCACUCUCCCCCAAAUUUCUCCUCUUCUUUCCUCAGUAUUAAGAGUCAGCAGAAGUAGAAAUCCUAGGUAUUCAAGUGGUGGCAGAGAUUUAUUUUUUUUAUUUGUUUUAAUUUUGCAUUACAUAUGUAUGUCUAUCUCUGGUAAAAGUAAGUUGUUUUUCUAAAUGAAAGGAUGCCCAAUAUGUUUAUCUGUUAAUUUUGAAUUCACAAGAAAAAAUGGAACAAAAUGCUACAACUGUUGCCAUCAUCUAGAAGGAAUAAAAAUUUCAGACUCUGGUCCCAGCUUUAUGCAUUUGAAAUGCAGAUUUCAGUAUUUCAGUGCUAGCUGUUUUAUAGGAAAUACAUAGGUAAAGCUUCUUGAAAGAAAUGAGGUACAUCUAUUUGCUUAAUCUCAGAAGAGAGGAAAAAUGAUUGUAAUGCUUCUGUUUUCAGAGUAGUGGAUCGAUCUUGCUUUAUUUUAAGAAUCUUUAAAUAUUGGAUUUAUCAGGGUCAUCGCAUAAAAAGUGGGAGAUUGCCGGGUGUGAUUUCCUCUCUUCUCUACAAUCUACUCUGCAGCAUCCAGGAGAAUAAGUUAUGUGAAAUAAUUAAAUUACAGCAAUAAAUGUUAGGCAUCUAACAUUGCUUUGUGAAAUUAAAGCAUAAAAGCAGGCACAGGAAGGGUAGAAAACAUAGAGAAAAAUCUGCAGAUUUUACAAGAGGUGUGGACAGAGAAGGGAGAACAAGGAAAUUGUACAGACUUUUAUCACAACUACUUAUGACUUUUUCUGGGGGUUGUAUUUCUUUGUAGUCUUCCUCUACCCUCUUGACUCUCCCUAUAAAGCAUUUUAUGAGACAUGUUAAGUAUUUUAUGUAAAAAAUAAGUUGUAUCACAUUGCACUGUAGGUCAAGGCAGGAAGGACACAUUGCCUGAAUAGCUUGUUAAUCUCUUUCAUCUUUCUCAUGCUGUCAUUAAUGCUUAUCUGUUCCCAUAGCUAUUGCAAAGUCAUCUGUUUUCUCCAGUGGCAUAGUGCAAUAAUAAAAUCUUUGAUUUGAC